rnacentral:rRNA from 1 species
AUUGAACGCUGGCGGCAGGCCUAACACAUGCAAGUCGAGCGGUAGCACAGAGAGCUUGCUCUCGGGUGACGAGCGGCGGACGGGUGAGUAAUGUCUGGGAAACUGCCUGAUGGAGGGGGAUAACUACUGGAAACGGUAGCUAAUACCGCAUAACGUCGCAAGACCAAAGAGGGGGACCUUAGGGCCUCUUGCCAACAGGUGGGGCCAGAUGGGAUUAGCUAGUAGGUGGGGUAACGGCUCACCUAGGCGACGAUCCCUAGCUGGUCUGAGAGGAUGACCAGCCACACUGGAACUGAGACACAGUCCAGACUCCUACGGGAGGCAGCAGUGGGGAAUAUUGCACAAUGGGCGCAAGCCUGAUGCAGCCAUGCCGCGUGUAUGAAGAAGGCCUUCGGGUUGUAAAGUACUUUCAGCGAGGAGGAAGGCAUUGUGGUUAAUAACCACAGUGAUUGACGUUACUCGCAGAAGAAGCACCGGCUAACUCCGUGCCAGCCGCCGCAGUAACAC